CUCUGUUUUCCGUAGCUUUGUGUGUAUUGGAGCCAUUACCUUCCAAACUGUUACUAUUUUGUGGGUUGUAAUCCCUUCACCUUCCGAAAAAGCACCAGUCAUAGAACCACAGAGCCAUAGAACCAUAGAAUCACAGAACCACUAAGAUUGGAAACGACCUCCAUGAUCAUCCAGUCCAACCUUCUACCUACCACCAAUAUUUUCCCACUAAACCACGUCCCUCAAGUACAGCAUCUGAAUGUUUCUUGAGCACCUCCAAGGACAGUGACUCCAUCAUCUCCCUAAGCAUCCUGUUACCAUGCUUGACAACUCUCUUGGAGAAAAAGUAUUUCCUAACAUCCGACCUGAAUCUCAUCUGAAUCUCCCCUGGUGCAAUGUGAGGCCCUUCCCUCUAGUCCUAUCACUAGUUACAUGGGAGAAGAGGCCAACCUCCAUCUCACCACAACCUUCUUUCAAGUUGUUGUAGAGAGUGAUAAGGUCUACCCUGAGCCUCUUCUUCUCCAGACUAAAUAUUCCCAGAUCCCUCAGCCACUCCUCGUAAGACUUGCGCUCCAGACCCCUUACCAGCUUCACUGCCCUUCUCUGAACAUGCUCCAGGGCCUUAAUGUCUUUCUUGGAAUGAGGAGCCCAAAAUUGAACUCAGUACUCAGUACAAAGCGUGAUCUCACCGGUGCCAAGUACAGGGGAAUUAUCACUUCCCUGCUCCUGCUGGCAACACUAUUUCUGAUACAAGCUAGGAUUCCAUUGGCCACCUUGGCCACCUGGUCACACUGCUGGCUCACGUUCAUUUGAGAGUCAAUCAAUACCCCCAGGUCCAUUUCCUCUACACAGUCUUCCAGCCACUCUGCCCCAAGCCUGUAGUGUCGCCUGAGGUUGUUGUGGCCAAAGUGCUGGACCCAGCACUUGGUCUUGUUGAACUUCAUCCCACUGGCCUCAGCCCAGCUACCCAGCCUGUCCAGAUUGCUCUAUAGGGCCUUCCUACCCCCAGGCAGAUCAACGCUUCUCCCCAGCUUGGUGUCAUCUGCAAACUUACUGAGGGUACACUCAAUGCCCUCAUCCAGGUCAUCAGUAAAGAUAUUGAAAAGGACAAGCCCCAGUACCAACCCCUUGGGAGCACCACUCAUGACUGGUCAACAGCUAGAUGUGACUCCAUUUACCACUGCACUCUGAGGCCAGCCAUCCAGCAAGGUGUGUACCUGUCCAAGACACGGGCUGUCAGGUUUCCCAGAAGAGGGUGUCCCUGUCCCAGGUUUCCCAGUGAGAGACAGUGUCAAAGGCUUCACCAAAGUCUAGGUAGACCACAUUAACAGCCUUUCCCUCAUCCACCAGGCAGGUCAAUUGAUCAUAGAAGGAGUUCAGGUUGGUCAAGCAGGACCUGCCUUUCAUGAAUCCAUGCUGGCUAGGCCUGAUCCCCCUAGUUGUCCUGCACAUGCCAUGUGAUCUCCCUCAAGACGAUCUACUCCAUAACCUUCCCUGGCACCAAGGUCAGGCUGACAGGCCUGUAGUUCCCCGGAUCUUCUUUACAACCCUUCUUGUAGAUGGGAGUCAUGCUGGCAAGACUCCAAUCCUCUGGGACCAGGAAUGCUGACAGAUGGUGGAAAGUGGCUUGGCAAUCACCUCUGCCAGCUCCCUCAGCACCCUCAGGUGGAUCCCUUCCAGCCCCCAUGGACUUGUGGCAGUCCAGGUAGAGUAGUAGGUCUCUGACAGUUUCUACCUGAAUCACCAAGCAUCUGUCUACAGACGUGUUUUGUUGUGUUUGCCUCUGCUAGAAUAAUUUAGUAAAUCUCUUAUAAAUCUUUCAAGAAAUAACAUUUUGGUUCAGAUGCAGAAAGGACUGUGGAAAUUCCACUCCCAGAACCAAGUUGCUUAACUGCAGAUACUCCAGGGCUUUUUGUGGCCACGCUUCCAUCCAUUUGUGUGUAUUCAGCACUGUCAAGUUUGUACUAUCAAAAUUCUCCUAGACAUGCAGGGAGACAGGGAAUGCUUCUGCACUGGGCCAAAGCCUGAAGAAAAUAUUUGGUGUACACCUGUGUAUAACACAACAGAAUGGAUACAUUCCAUCCUGGUGUUGAAGAAGGUCUGAGCUGUAGCAUCAAGCUGCCACACUCCAUUGCUCGAGGACUUUAUGUAUUUGAUGCACUUAACUGGUGGGUCCCAGAACAACUUGCAUGCAAAUCUGCUGACCCUCCCUCACUUGACAUGACCUUUUGAUACCCUGGUACCUGAGUGACUGACGGGAGCACAUCUUGCAAGGAGUGGCAGCUCUGCUGCUGCAACAAAGCCCUUUCACCAACUAUUUUUUUAAGGCAAGUGUGAAAGUGCAUGUUAAGGUGAAUCCAAUUUCUUAAUUUUACACAUGAUUGUGAGAUACUCCAAGUAAAAACUGUAUUUAAAAUUAGCUUUCUGGGAAAGCAGAGGCAGUAGUAGCUUAUUUUUGUGCAAUCACAUUGUUGGUUAUUAUUUUUGUUGCCUUCCAGAAGUGGGUUGUGUUUAGCCCUGGUUUAGAAAUAAUAGGUGUAAUAAUUCAUAGGUAUCACUGAACUUAAAUGGUAGAAACAUCUGUUUUACAGGACAUGAAGUGUGUCUCCACAAUAUAUUUUAAAAAGAAAAGCAAACAUGUAUGGAGGCUGAGGUUAUACACUAUUGAAAAUGUUUUGAUAUCUGUCCACUAAAAGAUCCAUUGAAACAUCCCUUAAGUAAGAUGACCCUCCACGGGGUGGGUGGCAUUAUCUGAAAAUAUAAUGGCUAUAAUUAAUCUGUAGGAUGGUUGAGAAAAUUAAGUAUUGAUUUAAGAGUAGGUCUGAUGUUGCAUAGUGUUAUUAAAUUCAUUUCGACAGUGUUAAUUCUGUGUUUCACACUCUCUCAGAAGAUUACACCAUUAUUUUAGUUUCCCCACCAACACAAUAUUUGGAUUCUUUUUACUUGGAAAAUCUUGUGAAAACUGUUAGUAAAUAUGUGUAUGUGGAAAAAUGCUUUUCUUUCAAAACUGUUCACAUCGAGACUCUACUUUGAUUUUUGCAUAUCUGUUUCACACUAUGUCAAGAAUGUCAAAGGUUAUUUUGAGUCUUCCCUUUAUAGUUUUAUGCUCUCUAUAGACUGUCAUGGAGUUACAUUAAAUAGGAGUUAUAAUUCUAAGGCUGUAGAAGUUGCGAUAGUAUCUAUAUUUAAAAGUUGUCUUUAAGGCUGCUUCCCAGCCUUAAACCCUUGACAGCUAUUACAUGCCAGCAUAUGUUGAUGGUGAAUCAUAGCUUAAUCUACUUGAGCUGCAUGUCCUUUUAAAAUGGUAUGCAAAAAAGGUGGCCUGAGGGCCUUGAGUCUGUGUUGAAGUUAGGUCCAUGUGCUGCACCUCUCCAGAAUUCCUCUCUAGAAAAGGAGGUUAAUGGAAAAACCUAGGGCCGAACGCUGCAUUCUUCUCUCAGAGCAGUUGCCUUCUCUGUGCUCUUGCUGUUAGGGAAGAGUGUGAGCAUCUUGCCCAUGCCACACUACCACUGCUCACUAAGCCAUAUCUUGGUGCAGGCGGCUUCUUUCUCUCCAUCUAG
ensembl:lncRNA